CAGUUUCAGAGGCUGCCUCCUGGGAGCAGGGCGUGCCCAGCUGGAGAAGGGUCACGGUCUCACACUUGCAGGAAGCCCCUUGUGGACUCUUCUACCCUCUUGCAAGCAUGAGGAUCUGCCAGUUCCUGGGCUUUAACCGCCUGGGAAAUGCCAGCCCGGGAGCCACUGAGAGUUACAGCUCCGGGCUUCAGCGUGAAAGCCAGUGGGGGAGGGGGGCGGUGUCUGAUAAAAUGCGGCUUUGGAUCUGAAUCUUCUUCAUGGAGAGAGGAGGUGGAGAAAGGCUUUGGCGGUGGGAAGGGGGCCCUGCUCUGGGGCGGUUCUGAGGCUGCUGGGGAAAUAUGGCAAAUGGAGAAGGACUGCUAAGGAGUGGGGGCUCCUCUGCGGUGGCAUUUGCCAGCGGUUCGGGUCUGGUUUGCGCAGGAACUUCCAGGGACGUCACAACUGGUUGAUGGCAGGGGUGAGGAGGAGGAAUGAGUGACCUUCCUGGCUCUGACCUCAGCCCGGCCUGCCGUUGGGCCCCAUGGACGCCCCACCAUCCCGUCUGAGCCCCACCAUCAGAGCAGCUGUGCUACUCCUCCCUACUUAGACCCUAGUACCCUGGGGAUCCUGGCUAGCACCUUUUCCCAGGCCUCUGGCUCCGCCAGGCAAACCAACAGCACACCCACAGGAAGAAAAGGAGGGAAACCUGAACCUUCUGCGGAAACUCCGAAGGUGCACAUGAUGUUAUAAAGAAGGCUUAGCACGAAACUAGUGAGAACAAGGCCAGAAACCCAAAAGAAAAAUGAACGAAGAGUAUGAGCAGGAGGUCCACAGGACACAAAAUGUUGAAUGGCCCGGGAACAUAGAAGAAGAUGCCCAGACUCACUCAUUAUAAAAGACAUGCAAAUAAAAACUUUUGAGAUGUCAUUUUUUUACCUGCUAAUUUGGCAAAAAUUCAAAGUUGACCAACAUAAUCUGCUGGAGAGGCUGAGGGGAACAGAGAACACUGGGCAACCCCAUGGAAGCCAGUAAGGCGAGAUCUGGCAAAGUUACAAAUGCACAUACCCUUCAGCCAGCAAUCCCACUACUGGAAAUGUAUUCAAUAAAUCCACCUGCACGUA